rnacentral:rRNA from 1 species
GGAGGGUAACGGCCCAACAAGGCGAUGAUCAGUAGCCGGUCUGAGAGGAUGAACGGCCACAUUGGGACUGAGACACGGCCCAGACUCCUACGGAGGCAGCAGUGGGGAAUCUUCCGCAAUGGACGAAAGUCUGACGGAGCAACGCCGCGUGAGUGAAGAAGGUCUUCGGAUUGUAAAACUCUGUUAUACGGGACGAAAAAGGCGGAUGCCAACAGUAUCCGUCCGUGACGGUACCGUAAGAGAAAGCCACGGCUAACUACGUGCCAGCAGCCGCGGUAAAU